rnacentral:rRNA from 1 species
CAGUCGCCGCGGGAAUACGUAGGUGGCAAGCGUUGUCCGGAAUUAUUGGGCGUAAAGGGCUCGCAGGCGGUUUCUUAAGUCUGAUGUGAAAGCCCCCGGCUCAACCGGGGAGGGUCAUUGGAAACUGGGAAACUUGAGUGCAGAAGAGGAUAGUGGAAUUCCACGUGUAGCGGUGAAAUGCGUAGAGAUGUGGAGGAACACCAGUGGCGAAGGCGACUCUCUGGUCUGUAACUGACGCUGAGGAGCGAAAGCGUGGGGAGCGAACAGGAUUAGAUACCCGAGUAGUCCCUGUCUCUUAUAC